rnacentral:tRNA from 1 species
GCCCCAGUGGCGGAACCGGUAGACGCGCCAGACUCAAAAUCUGGUGUCGGCAACGACGUGUCCGUUCGAGUCGGACCUGGGGCACCA